CCUACGGGGGGCAGCAGUAGGGAAUCUUUCACAAUGGGCGAAAGCCUGAUGGAGCAACGCCGCGUGCAGGAUGAGGGCCUUCGGGUUGUAAACUGCUUUUAUAAGCGAGAAAUAUGAUGGUAACUUAUGAAUAAGGAUCGGCUAACUACGUGCCAGCAGCCGCGGUCAUACGUAGGAUCCGAGCAUUAGCCGGAGUGACUGGGUGUAAAGAGUUGCAUAGGUGGCAUAAUAAGUAGCUAGUGAAAUCUGGUGGCUCAACCAUUCAGACUAUUAGCUAAACUGUUAAGCUCGAGCCCGUUAGGGGUAACUGGAAUUUCGAGUGUAGGAGUGAAAUGCGUAGAUAUUAGAAGGAACACCAAUAGCGUAGGCAGGUUACUGGGACGGUACUGACGCUAAGGCACGAAAGCGUAGGGAGCAAACGGGAUUAGAUACCCGUGUAGUC
rnacentral:rRNA from 1 species